UACAGAGGGUGCAAGCGUUGCUCGGAAUCAUUGGGCGUAAAGCGCACGUAGGCGGCCUGUUAAGUCGGGUGUGAAAGCCCUGGGCUCAACCCAGGAAGUGCACUCGAAACUGGCAGGCUUGAGUAUGGAAGAGGGUCGCGGAAUUCCCGGUGUAGAGGUGAAAUUCGUAGAUAUCGGGAGGAACACCAGUGGCGAAGGCGGCGACCUGGCCCGAUACUGACGCUGAGGUGCGAAAGCGUGGGGAGCAAACAGG
rnacentral:rRNA from 1 species